UACGGGGGGGGCAAGCGUUGUUCGGAAUUACUGGGCGUAAAGGGUUCGUAGGUGGCCAACUAAGUCAGACGUGAAAUCCCUCAGCUUAACUGGGGAACUGCGUCUGAUACUGGUUGGCUUGAGUGCAGGAGAGGAACGCGGAAUUCCAGGUGUAGCGGUGAAAUGCGUAGAGAUGUGGAGGAACACCAGUGGCGAAGGCGACUCUUUGGCCUGUAACUGACGCUGAGGCGCGAAAGCGUGGGGAGCAAACAGGG
rnacentral:rRNA from 1 species